GAGUACUUUCCCCAGGCUACCUGCCUCCCAACUGUGAAAAUAAACAGGGCUGUCCUUCUUCCCCGCUCUGUUGAGUCUGCACACUGGAUUCAUGCCUUCCCCCUGAGUUCUGGCCAAGAGACUUCUCCAUCAGUUGAAAUUGUUACAAAGUUCAGCUGGAGUUUUCCUUCUCCCUGCAGCUUUCCCAGUGCCUCCAGCAGCCCUCCUCAAAGACCCCUGUGAGGCCACGCAGAAAUGGCUUGGCAGGGGACCCAGUGAGCCCAGAGGGAUUUUGCCGCUGCUUCCUCUACCCCUGUAUUUCACUCAGCUCUCUAAAUUGACUCAGCUGUAGGCUAGUGUGAGAAACACCAACGUCAGGCCCAUCUCAGAUCUUCACUAUGGCAACUCAUGCAAGAAACUGUUGAAUUAGACCCGUUUCCUAUAGAUGAGAAACCAUACAAGCUGUGGGAGUCGGAGGUUGCAGUGAGCCAAGAUUGCACCACUGCACUCCAGCCUGGCGACAGAGCCAGACUCUGUCUAAAAAAAAAAAAAAAAAAAAAAAGAUGGUCACAGUUGGUGCUAGAGAGCUGAUAUGAGGAGGAUCCAACAU
rnacentral:sRNA from 1 species